rnacentral:rRNA from 1 species
GUCCACGCUGUAAACGAUGUCUACUAGCCGUUGGGAGACUUGAUUUCUUAGUGGCGCAGCUAACGCUUUAAGUAGACCGCCUGGGGAGUACGGCCGCAAGGUUAAACUCAAAUGAAUUGACGGGGCCCGCACAAGCGGUGGAGCAUGUGGUUUAAUUCGAUGCAACGCGAAGAACCUUACCAGGUCUUGACAUCCAGAGAACUUGGCAGAGAUGCCUUGGUGCCUUCGGGAGCUCUGAGACAGGUGCUGCAUGGCUGUCGU